rnacentral:rRNA from 1 species
UACGUAGGGUGCGAGCGUUGUCCGGAAUUAUUGGGCGUAAAGAGCUUGUAGGCGGUCUGUCGCGUCUGCUGUGAAAAUCCGGGCUCAACCCCGGACUUGCAGUGGGUACGGGCAGACUAGAGUGUGGUAGGGGAGACUGGAAUUCCUGGUGUAGCGGUGAAAUGCGCAGAUAUCAGGAGGAACACCGAUGGCGAAGGCAGGUCUCUGGGCCACUACUGACGCUGAGAAGCGAAAGCAUGGGGAGCGAACAGG